rnacentral:rRNA from 1 species
UACAGAGGUCUCAAGCGUUGUUCGGAUUCAUUGGGCGUAAAGGGUGCGUAGGCGGCGCGGUUAAGUCGGGUGUGAAAUCUUGGAGCUUAACUCCGAAACUGCAUUCGAUACUGCCGUGCUUGAGGACUGGAGAGGAGACUGGAAUUUACGGUGUAGCGGUGAAAUGCGUAGAUAUCGUAAGGAAGACCAGUGGCGAAGGCGGGUCUCUGGACAGUUCCUGACGCUGAGGCA